rnacentral:rRNA from 1 species
GGCGAACGCUGGCGGCGUGCUUAACACAUGCAAGUCGAACGAUGAAGCCGGGGCUUGCUCUGGUGAAUUAGUGGCGAACGGGUGAGUAACACGUGAGUAACCUGCCCUUGACUCUGGGAUAACUGCGGGAAACUGUAGCUAAUACCGGAUACGACCCUCGGAGGCAUCUCCUGGGGGUGGAAAGAAUGUCGGUCAAGGAUGGACUCGGGGCCUAUCAGCUAGUUGGUGAGGUAAAGGCUCACCAAGGCGACGACGGGUAGCCGGCCUGAGAGGGUGACCGGCCACACUGGGACUGAGACACGGCCAAGACUCCUACGUGAGGCAGCAGUGAGGAAUAUUGCACAAUGGGCGCAAGCCUGAUGAAGCAACGCCGCGUGAGGGAUGACGGCCUUCGGGUUGUAAACCUCUUUUAGCAGGGAAGAAGCGAAAGUGACGGUACCUGCAGAAAAAGCACCGGCUAACUACGUGCCAGCCGCCGCCGUAA